UAGUUCUCAAAGCCUGCUCCCAGUG
rnacentral:piRNA from 1 species